rnacentral:rRNA from 1 species
GAUGAACGCUGGCGGCGUGCCUAAUACAUGCAAGUCGAGCGAACAGACGAGGAGCUUGCUCCUCUGACGUUAGCGGCGGACGGGUGAGUAACACGUGGAUAACCUACCUAUAAGACUGGGAUAACUUCGGGAAACCGGAGCUAAUACCGGAUAAUAUAUUGAACCGCAUGGUUCAAUAGUGAAUGACGGUUUUGCUGUCACUUAUAGAUGGAUCCGCGCCGCAUUAGCUAGUUGGUAAGGUAACGGCUUACCACGGCGACGAUGCGUAGCCGACCUGAGAGGGUGAUCGGCCACACUGGAACUGGGACACGGUCCAGACUCCUGCGGGAGGCAGCAGUAGGGAAUCUUCCGCAAUGGGCGAAAGCCUGACGGAGCAACGCCGCGUGAGUGAUGAAGGUCUUCGGAUCGUAAAACUCUGUUAUUAGGGAAGAACAAAUGUGUAAGUAACUAUGCACGUCUUGACGGUACCUAAUCAGAAAGCCACGGCUAACUACGUG